CCAUCCUGUGAAAAAAAAUGUGAAAAAUGAGUUAAGUGGUGUUUGUUUAGUGGGGGAAAAUGCGAGAAAAUGAGUGUGGGCUGAUGGGUUUUCUGUUUGGUUUGGGAAAAUGCAAGUCGGAAUAAAGAGAGAAUAAGGUUGACAAACAGGGGAAAACCAAAGGAAUGCUAUGUUUGAUGCCGAGAAAAUGUUGGGUUAAGAAAAUGGGGAUCUUUUAACAAGUUGAAAACAAAAAGCUUGUUAAAUAAGGAGGAAAUGAGCAAAUAGAAGUUGGGAUUUUAGUUUGAGGAAAUGCAAGUGGAAAAUGAUAGAUGUUGAAAAAAAGCAGAAAACAAAGGAAUGCUAUGCUUGUUUGCCGAGGAAACGUGGGAUAAAGAAAAUGGGGAUAUUUUCACUAGUUAAAAACAACAAACGUGUGAAAGGACGAGAAAAUGAGCAAACCCAGAUGAUAUUUGUGGUCGUUGAAGUUCAGAGUUGAAAAGAGCUUACCUUUGAACAUGUUGAACGACGGCUUCAGGGUCAGGGUGUUGAUGAGGAAGAGUGACGUUGUGGGCAGCCAUUGGAGUAGAAGAGAAAGAGAGCAACAAGCAAAGACAUUUUAAGAAAAUGCAGGUGAUUAGAAGCAUUUUUGAAGAGACGACAACAAUGGUGGUGAAUAUUUGCUGUUGUUUUGGUGAGUCUCCUCCUUUUUGCCUUCUGUUAAAAAGAGAUCUUUGAAUUGUUGAUGUCCUUCAAAACCGUAGAGGCUGCAAAAUUUAGAAAAAUGUGAAAAAGGAUUAUAUAUUAAAAAAAUUAUAAAUGAUAAUAAUAAUUCAUUGAUAGCAUAGGAUGACGAUUACUUUUCUUUUCUUUUCCCGUUUGUUUGUUUAACGAAAACCGAAGAAGAAAUGGAUGGGAUGGGACAUCCAGGGAGAAGAAGCGAAUUAAGAGAGAGAAAAUUGUCCUCUCUUUUCUCUGCGAAUUUCUCUUGUAAAUAAACUCUCUAACAAGAACCGACAGUCCUAGCCUGCCUGCCCUCCAAUGAUUCUAGAGAUGGAAGAUGAGAAGAUUGUUCAAAAAGGUUAAUAAAUAAUUGUUUAUUAUGGAGAGAGUGAGAAAAGGGUUUAUCCAAAAUUGUCAGGCCCUUCUCUUCUCCUCUUCUACCUCUAGGUCUCCUUCAUUUAUUUCUUUACUUUUAUGCCGCCAUUGAUAAGUAAAAGGGUUUGUUUAUUUGAUAAUUUGUAUGGAAUUAUGAUUCUUUGCAGAGAUGGAGUGAGGAUGUUCUCAUCCUAAAGAGAUACUCCUCUGUGUAAACAAAACCUGUUCACUUUUGUUAAAGGGUAAAGGAUUUAAGUUGCGUUCA